UUGAAAAAUUAAUUAUUUUAUUAUCUAAUUUACUAUAAUUUAUACUAUUCUAAACAAUAUAAUAUUAUUUAUUCUGUAUUAAUUUCACUAUUUAUUUUCAUCAAAAUUUUUAUUAUAUUAUUUAACUAUGUUCAAUUGAAAAAACAAACUUGAAAUUACAUUUCCUUUAUUGUAAUAAAUUAUUGUCGAAAAUAACGCCUGGAAACAAAAGAAGAGAACUUUUGGAAACUCGUCUCGAAUUGGAAUGGUCUAAACGUGCGCAUUGCCUUCAACCUGCGCUUGCACUGUCUGUAAACUAUUUUUUUUGCCUCGAAGGCACGGCACGAAUCUCGAGGAACGUCGUAGUAGAACGAAGAAAGGAGAAAGAGAAGUUAAUGUGCCAGAAAGAGAGAAAACAAAACAUAGAGCGUUCUGUUUCUUGCGCUCGUCUCUUUUCUGUGGCCUGCUUGGCACGAGACUGGAGUGAAUAGCGAGCAAACGAUAUCUGAAAAACGGAAUGGGAUGCAACGUCCUGCAUUGUGAACGGUGACGGUAGAACGAGUCGAUAUAUCUUUUUCUCGAGGACAAACACCAUGAACGAGCUCACUACGGAAAUGGGUGCGGCGAUUCUACAAGUAUAUUAUACGAAGUCUGUCCAGGGCCGUGUUUUUCGCUAAACAUUGGAGGCGCUACUCUUCGAAGAGAAAAUAGAAAAGUUGGAAAGCUGAGUACAGCUUCAUAUUAAAUGAACUCUAAUGUAUCAUAGAAGUCAUGUUGGAAAUUAAUUUUAAAGUGACUUUAUUUAUUUUUAAAGAAUAUUUCUUAGAAAUUGGAAAAGAAGAUUGAAAUAUAUUUUUAAAUAAAAUUUACUUAAUUUACACUGUUAUCAUUAUUUUACAAUAGUAAUUUUAAAAUUUAAAUUUUAAAAUAUAAUUUUUAAAAAAGCUUGAAA